rnacentral:rRNA from 1 species
UCGUAACAAGGUCUCCGUUGGUGAACCAGCGGAGGGAUCAUUAUCGAGUUAUUCAACUCCCAAACCCUAUGUGAACUUACCACUUGUUGCUUCGGCGCGCGCUUCGGCGCCGCCGAGGACACUUAAACUCUUUGUUUUUAUAAGCAUUUCUGAGUGGCCGAAAGGCAAAAAUACAAAUGAAUCAAAACUUUCAACAACGGAUCUCUUGGUUCUGGCAUCGAUGAAGAACGCAGCGAAAUGCGAUAAGUAAUGUGAAUUGCAGAAUUCAGUGAAUCAUCGAAUCUUUGAACGCACAUUGCGCCCGCCAGCAUUCUGGCGGGCAUGCCUGUUCGAGCGUCAUUUCAACCCUCGAGCCCGACUCUUUUGAGGACGGCUCGGCGUUGGGGGACGGCAGACUCCCCCCGGCAUCUCGCCGGGGACGCCGCCCCCGAAAUCUAGUGGCGGCCCUCCGAGGCGACCUCUGCGUAGUAACUUGUUCUCGCACCGGAAAGCUCAGAGCGGCCACGCCGUAAAACCCCAACUUUUUUCAGGUUGACCUCGAAUCAGGUAGGACUACCCGCUGAACUUAAGCAUAUCAAU